rnacentral:rRNA from 1 species
GACGAACGCUGCCGGCGUGCUUAACACAUGCUAGUCGAGCGGCGCGGCGCACGGGUGAGUAACGCGUGAGUAAUUGCCCCCCUCUCUGGGAUAACAGUUGGACACGGAUGCUAAUACCGGAUAGUGGGGGGUGACUCGCGUCCUAUCCGCUUGUUGGUGGGGUAGUGGCCUAACAUGGCGCAGACGGGUCGCCGGCCUGAGCGGGCGACCGGCCACAUUGGGCUUAUGUACGGCCCAAAGGCCGACGGGAGGCAGCAGUGGCGAAUAUUGCACAAUGGGGGAAACCCUGAUGCAGCAACGCGCGUGCGGGAUGACGGCCUUCGGGUUGUAAACCGCUUUCAGCCAUGACGCGGUAGUGGCAGAAGAAGCAGCGGCUAACGACGUGCCAGCAGCCGCGGUAAUUC